UACGGGGGGGGCAAGCGUUGUUCGGAAUUACUGGGCGUAAAGGGCUCGUAGGCGGCCAACUAAGUCGGACGUGAAAUCCCUCGGCUUAACCGGGGAACUGCGUCCGAUACUGGAUGGCUUGAGUUUGGGAGAGGGAUGCGGAAUUCCAGGUGUAGCGGUGAAAUGCGUAGAUAUCAGGAGGAACACCAGCGGUGUAGACGGCUUUCUGGACCAUUGCUGACGCUGAGGAGCGAAAGCGUGGGGAGCGAACAGG
rnacentral:rRNA from 1 species